CAUACAAACCAACCUAGGCUAUUUUCUGUUUUAUGGAAAAUGCAACAGCUGGAGCCAAUACGAAUCCCAUUUGAUUUGUUCUCAUGCAUGCAUAAUAAUUCUCGUGCUUUUCUUUCCAAUCUGAAAUAUAACUUCUACAUAUUCUAUGCACCAAAUUAUCUCUUCCUGUAUGCACUCAUGCACACAGAACUAAACAUUUGCUUGAACCAACGUCCACACAUGAAUGAUGGCCCAGAUCAAUUUCGUGGACAACUCCAAUGCUAGGUCCAUGCUCAGCAAUUGACCCUUUUCUAGCCUGCCUCAACUGUUCCACUGAAGAUGAUUUUGGAUGGCCCAGAUCAAUUUCGUGGACAACUCCAAUGCUAGGUCCAUGCUCAGCAAUUGACCCUUUUCUAGCCUGCC
rnacentral:lncRNA from 1 species